rnacentral:lncRNA from 1 species
GAGGGGAGGCCAUGGGAGUGAGAAAGCUUGAGGAUUUGAGUGGCGGUGGACUUGACGGAGGAGAGGGAAACGGAGAGGGCGGCGGUGGCCAAAAGGCGGGGACUUGUUUGGAUGGCAUUGGCAUGGACUGAAAGAGAUGAAAAACAGAGACGAGGGUAAGUGGUGGAACUGCAAGAGCUUUUUAUGAACUCUGUGCUGCUUUGUGGAGUUAUGGCUGAAUGAAUCAGUGUUAAUUGGAGAAUUAAUUGGAAAAGAAUCAAACUUUUCUUGGAGUUUGAGAUACCCAUCUCUGUUUUUUUUUUUUUUUUUUUUUUUUAUGCAAAUGGAAGGAAUUUAGGAGGAAGGGGAAGUGAUGAAGAGAAAGGGGUGAAAUGGGUUUUGUAUUUAUAAGCAAAUGACCAUUGCAUUUACACAUAAAAGCUAAGUCUCAGAGACAAACUAGAGGUUUAGAGGACUUUGAGGCAAACAGAAAAAUAAGUUAUUAAAUUUGUAUAUUCUUAAAUCACCCAUUGACGUAAAAGUUUAAGAUGACUAGUAAAAAUACAUUUAAUAUUAUAUCUUACUUGUACGUUUGAAAUUUAAUAUUAUAUCUUACUUGUACGCUUGAAACAUGAAGAAACAUCAAACAAGUAGAAAUUAAUUUUAUUUGAGAAGAAAAUAUCAUUCAAACAGUUUGACAUAAGAUCUUUAUGCACCAUUCACUCUAGUAUUAUCUUAAAACACUAAUUGAUCAAAAGGCUUAAGGGUUUUUAUAUCGAUGACCCAUUGUUAAAUAUGUUUUAGUUUCGUAACCUUCCUCGAGUAAAUAAGAAUUAUAACCUUUCACUUACAUCACAUUUACUUUUUAAGAAGCACACAGUCGUACUUGUGAGCAUCAAUCCAAGCUGAUUAAAGAGGCACCUUGUGCCUGAGUUAACAUACCCUGAUGAAAAUUUUAAGUGCGCUGAACUUUCUCCCUCACACUCGUGAGUACCCAAUUAGGUUGAUUAAGACGCCCUAGUUUGAGUCUGAUUCAAUCAUAAAACUGCAAGGGGCAAGCAAGACUAAGUUUCUUUCCGUACAAAAAUCUAUAUGUUGUUAGGCUUGUUUAGAAAUUAUUUGUUUUUUUUUUCCAAUGAUUUUCAUCUAUCUCAGGUAAAAAAUAGUUGAAUUAUUAACCAAAUUUUAAUUUUUAAAAAUUCUUAAAAACUAAAAAUAUUUUGUUAGAUGAAAAUAAAUAUUAUAUUAUUAAUUUUAUCUUUAAGCUGAGAUUUUUGAGAAAAUUGUUUAAUUUAACAUAUUAUCAAAGCAAGUGAUGGUUGAGGUCCUAUGUUCGGUAGAAGAUGUGUUUAUAGGUUUAAUUUUGAAAAACAAAAAAUUAAGAUCCCAAUUGGUAAUUAUUUUGCUUUUGAAAAUUAAGCCUACAUAUCCUACUUACAUUUUCAAAUUUCUUGCUUUAUUUUCUACCUUUUACCAAUAGUUUAAAAACCAAGAAUAAAUUAUAAAAACUAAAAAUAUAUUCUAAAGAGGGAUGAAUCAUAAAAAAUAGAAAGGAAAAAACGCUUAAUUUUGAAAAACUAAAACAAAAAAUAAGAUGAUUAUGAAAAGAAGCCUCAUAAUUUGUAACUUUCUUCCCUAUAUACUUUAGUUGGAAUAACAGGAACCAAAUUUUUAUUUUUUUGUGAAUAACUUUCUUUUUGUUCUGUUCAUAACAAUUGUCCAAAUAUGUUAGUCAGGAGAGAUGGGAAGGUUGAGAAAGCGAGAGAAUAAUAAUAAUUUGGAUGACCGACAAAAAUAAAACCCAACAAUUAUAUAAUAAUAAUAAUUUUUUUAAAAAAAAAUUAACAUUUAAAAGACGUACUAUUGUUUUUAAAAUUUCACUUUGAAUAAAACUCUUAUAUUAAAAAAAAUAAAAUAAAAUAAAAAGUACAAGCCAUCCUGAGAAAUGAAAAGAAAAUAAGUAAAACUUUUCAAAAACUAAAUAACUACCCAAAGCCCAACGGAAGUUUAAAUAUAAUUCUAACUUAUAUAUUGCUUUCUCCUCAUUAUAUUUAUUGUUCAAUUACUGGUCUUUUUCAAAUUGUGUUGUCCAAGUCGACUUGCAAGUCCAUUUUGUACGGAAAUACUACAUUCAAUAUAUAAUAAGAAAAAAAUAAACUAUUUAUGAAUAUAAUUAAUUAUAGUUUUUUAUUAUUAAUGGUGAGAAAAAUAAAGAGGGAAUCGUAUGGGAGGAAGGAAAUGGGUGUUUUUGGUGAACCUCCUCAAACUUCUACUUGCAUGCAUUUCUCACUCUCUCUUACGCCUCACUAAUGCUCAAGUUUUCUUUUCUUUUACAAAAACAAACACUUCUCAGUCGUCAUUGUCAAUAACCAAACUGAUGUCUCACCGCUCAUAUCAAAUUUCAUUCAAUAAUAACUAAAUAAACCUUUACGUCCCACCACAUGUUUAAAUGCAAUUAAAUCCCCUUUAAUCAUUUUAAAUUAAAUAAACUUUCCCAAAAUUAACUUAUCUUCCUCUAUAUGCUAAUUGACACGACAAAAAAAAAUAUAAAUAUUUGAUCUAUCAUCCAUACACUUGAUUUAGUCAUCAAAUAAAAAUAAAAAUAUAUAGAUUGUUUUUUUUUUUGUCUCUUUAAUUUUUCUUGUUAGUAUACAUUAGAACUAUAAGCUAUAUUUAUUUUGACAAAAAAAAUUAAUUUAGUUCGAUAAAUAAUAACAAAAUCUCAUGGAUAUUAUUAAAAGAGAAUAUUUGAGAAUCCAAACUUUUUAAUAGUCAAUUUUGGGUUUAAAUGAAAGAACAAUGACAAUUCUUUUUGUUAAUUUUGGUGAGCCCCAAAUGAUUCGGAACCAAUCAACUUCUGAAGUUAAGGUUAACCAUUUCCAACAACGUUGUUUCUACUUUAUUUAAAAUAUCUCAAGUCUUCUUCGACAAGAGAUGCGAGCAUCAUUGUUUUGUUUCAAAUUUUUUUUUUUAGAUUUGAAAUUUAAGUCUAUUUACUCUUUAUUUUAUACAAUGAUUUGUAUCCUUUUUAAGUGUAAUGAUCGAAUUAUUCAUCAAAUUUCAACAAUAAAAGUAAAAAAUAAAAAAUAGUUAUUUUAUAUAUGCAAAUGUUGAAAUAAUUUGAAUUGAGCAUUUAGCAACAAAAUGAGGGGAAUGAAUGUGGGGGUGGUAAAAUGAUUUGGACAUUCUCUAAUCUCUACCAUAAUUUUCAAAUGUCAAUAUCUUAGUUAUUGCAAUCAAAAACAACAAUAUAUAUCACCUCUUUUCCAUACAUACUUUAGAUGUGAUCUUUUAUUUUCCUCUUUUCUUUUUUUCAAACUAGUCAGGGCCACCAACUUUUUAUUUCAAAUAAUUAUAUCACAUUUUUUAUUUAAAACAAUAACUUUUAAAAACCACAUCUUUUUUUAGAUAUUAUAUACUUAUUUUUUAAAAAAAAGCAAACAAAAGAUGCUUCAAGAACUUAAUUUCAAAGCUAAUUUUCUUUAAAGAAAAUAGAUUUAUUUUCAAAAACUUAAAGACUAAAUACUGAUAAAGUUGAAGAUCAAAAACAUUAAACUUUUCAAACUUAAGAACGAAACGCACGAAUUCAUCUUCAAAACUUGAAAACUAAGAAAGUUAUUGUAUUUCGAAACAUAAUUUUUUAAAAAGAUUUCAAUGCAUAUCCAUAAUCUUUAAGAGUUGUAUCCGUAUGAACUUCAAAUAUAAAUUAACCAUUAAACGAUUGUCAACCGUAGUUCACAUUGCAUUGUGUUUAACAAUGUUGAGAGUGAAAAUGCAAAAUUUAUAUGAUUUUUUCAAACAUCAUUUAAUUUAUAUGUUUUCAAAUCUAUUGGGGAGCUUCUGAUUUAGAUUAUUGGUACUUAAAAAUUUCUGUACGUAAUUAACCAAAUAUUUUGUGAAUUAAUUUCAAUCUUAAAAUCUUUUCUAUUCACGUCAAAGUACAAAAUCUGACAAUAAGAAAUUAGUAACAUAUUUUCUUCUUAAACAUUUAUCUAUAGUAUCUUUUGAUUAAGAAACAUAAUCAAUUGUGUAAGGAAGGAAAAAAGAAGUGAAUAAGGAAACAAUCUCCAUGAUUGUAUUCAAUGAUAUUUUAAUAAAACCCAAAGAACUACAGGAAAUUUUAUAUAUAAUUGAGAAAUAUAGAGCUAUUAUAUAUACAUGGACCGCAUCAGGUAGACCAAAAAAAAAAAAAUGCAACAAUAGACUAGAGAGUCUUUUAAAGAGAUGUGAAUGAUAGAAGAAAUUUCUUGUAGCGGUUGAAUUGGAAAAAUUAAAUGAGUUUUUGGAGGUGAUAUUUUGAUAUAUAUCAUGUUGAAUGGAAGUAUAAAAUUACUCGUAAAAGUCAAUACUAGUUGCUUCAAAAGUUUCUUCAUUCCAACAUCAUAAACCUCUUAAAAUCGAAAUUUAAAAUACGUCAAAUUAACAACAAUAAAGGUAAGUAGGAGACGAACAAUUUGGAUCGACUAUUAAAUGUAAGUAGGUGAGAGACUGAAAAUUGAAGGUAUUUUAGUAGACAACUCAAACUCGUAUCAACUUUUCAAUACCAAAUAUUACUUUUUGUAUUUUGUUUGAACAUUGAAAGUUGUGUGGAGUUAUAAUGAUAUUUUAGAGGGUGAGGAUGGAGGAAAAGAGUUACCAAAAUAUAACUAGAUUGCAUUUUUAUUUCUUAUGGGAUAGUUAAGAAUAGUUAUUCUACUUCCUAUAUAUAAAUUUUCCUUAUUGCUAUACUAGUUUUUUUUUUUUUUUUAAUAGUUGAAUUCUUUCACCCAAAUACAAGGUAUUUAUGGUCAUUUAAAAGUUGUUUGACUCACUUUAUUGAAUAUACAAUUUGUUGUUGUAUUUUUUUAGUAGAGUGUAUUUGUGAGAACCAAAAAGUUAUUUUAAGCACAAAAUAUUUGUGUUUUUUUUAGUUUUAAUACAUAUUUUUAUCGUUGUUAAUAUAGAAUCUCAUGGGUAGGAAUUUGAUUUUUCAUUUUUUCUUAAUAAAUAGUUAAAUUUAAAAAUAUUUUUUAAUAAUAGUGAAAUCCUACGAAAGGUUGGUUAUCUUUGUUCUUUUCUACUAUAAUAUAACCUCUUUUGUAAAAAUUGAUAUGUGAUUCUUGCUGAUUAUGUUAUUCAUUUAAUGAAGGAGAUUUUAAAAAAUACAACAAACCUACCGGAACAAUUUUAAAAACGAAAAAGCUCUAAAUAUAUUAAAGUAUGUACCAACAUAAUUGUACAUACUUUAAAUAGAUUUGGCUACCCAAAUCUAAACUGUAUCAAUACAUCUUGUUGGAAGGGGCUGACAAGUAUAGUUACCACUAAACUGUUUAUAAAUAUUAAGUAUAAAUUUGUUUUGUUUAUACAUAUUAUAUAAAGACAAUAAAAUUGAGGGGGUUCGAGCCCCUGAGCCUAUACUAAAUUCGCCGGUGAAUACAAAACUAAGUAUGUAUGUGAAGUUUAUUUGAUAUAUACACACAACACUGUAUAUAUAGACUAGCACGGAGGAAAUAUUAAUUUUUUAAAAAAAUAAGAAAAAGGAGAUAAUUUUAAAAAGAUUUUAAAAAGAUAACCUAAUAAUUAAUAAUAAUUUAGAAAAAACCUGAAAAAGGAAAAGAAAAAGUAGAGAAAGUGUAUUUUAAAAAUAUUAUUAUAAUUAAACUAAAGAUUAUUUGGAAUGACUCAAAUAAAUAUUUUUAAAAAAAUCAUUUUUAUUUAAACGCUUUUGAUAAAAACUUAUAAAUUAUUUUUAUAUAUAAGUUUCUUUUAUUUGUUAUAUGUACUAAAAAUAUUUUUAUUAAAAAAUUUUAAAGUUGAGCAGUGGCGACAGUCGCUAGAGUUGGUUGUUGGAAGUUUGUCAGUAGAGUCACCAAAGGUGAUAGUCGGAGUAUGACCAAGACGACUAUUAUCGAAGAUUGACCUAAUUAAACCGUAAAAAUGUUAUUAUUAAAAGUUUGCAAGGUUGAUCGAUAGCGACCAAAGAUGUUUAGUUGGUUGAUGAACUUUCCAACCCUUGGAACAAAUAUCUCUAGGGUUGAAGAAUAGCAAGACAUAUAAGUAAUUUUAAAUUCUAAUUCUAAUAUUCAACUAAAACUAAACAUUGUCCCAAAUAUUGAGCAAACUAUUAUAGCAUAUGCUCCACUUCUAGCCCCAAACAUGUCUUUGAUGGUUAGGAUUUCAAUCUUAUAUUAUUUGAAUUAGUUAGGGGUAUUUUGGUCCAUUGUUAAUUCACAAUUAAUAAUUUUAGAAUUCAUUUUGUUGUUUUUAUAAUUUUUUUUUGUUUUUUCUAAGUGAAAUAUUUUGUUUUGUAAUUUCUCUUCUUAGUUGGCCAAAUAAUAUAUUCAUUAACUCUAAUUUUGGGAUAGUUGCAAAUAUAUAACAAAAUAUUUAAAUAAAUUGUAAAUAUAACAAAAUAUGUCAAAAACUAUCAAUGACAGAAGUGUAUCGCCGAUAGAUCAUGCUGAAAAUAUUAGUCUAUCGACAAUAGACCAUAAAAAUAUAUCAAUAAUAAAAACUUUUAUCGCUUCUAUCGUUGAUAGACCAUAAGAAUCUAUCAACGACAGAAAUGUAUCACGGAUAGAAUUUGCUAUAAUAUUUUUAGUUCUUUUUUUAAUAUUGUUAUAUAUUGAAUUAUUAUUAUAAACAUGGUUACAUGGAUAAUUAUAAUAUAUGAUAAUUUUAUGAAUAAUAAUUAAGCAUAUGUAAUAACAUUUUGACUCUUAUGGCCUAUUAGUGAUACACUUUGUUCUAUUUGUAAUUUUUAAAAUAUUACUAUAUAUAUAUAUAUAUAUAUAUACUUAAUUAUUGUAUGCAACAAUCGAGAGCCCAACCCUGUGUUAUCUAAUUAGGUUGAUAAGCUAAGCCCAAUCCGUAGCACAACCGUCAGCCCAAUUUAAAAAUAGAAAACUAAAACCUCACGCUCACGCCUCCCACUCCUCUCCAGUUUUAAACUUGGGUGAACUUUUAUGUUCUCUUUUCCUUCUCACCCUCAUUCUUUUUCCUUUUCUACAGUUCUUUAACUUUACCAUCCCCUUCCCACUCUGCUCAUCAUAAUUUAUUCAAACAACUAUCUUUGAUAUAUCAGUUAAAACUUUAAAACGGUGAUUGUUGUGGCAUAACGCCAAAGCCACAACCGGUGGAGGUACUUUUUUCUUUUAUUGAGGGAUAGCAAAACUUUGACGAAAAAAUAAAACGGGUUUAAAAAGGCGCUAUACUGUGAGGACUGUCGAUUUUAGAUGAUUCAUCUUUAAAUCGAGGGUUUCUGUUGAUCUUUGGCUUGUCCACAACCUAACCCAACCCAAACGUACAAACCUUUAAAUUCCUUCUCUACUUUACCUUAAUAAUUAUAAUAACCCGUGAAAAGUAUUACAAAAAUAUUAUAUUUUAUUUGCUUUUACUCUAUUUUUCUAAAUAUAUAUUUUUGUAGGGUAAAAUGCACUUCUGAGUAGAUGCUGACAUGGAUGAGUUAGCAUUUUAUUUAUUUGAUGAUGUGGUGAAUAAACUUAAAAAAGUAAACCUUCUCAAAUUAUAGUGACAUUUCAAAACAUUUUAGAUCUCUCUAGUUAUUUGGAACCUAAUUCAUCUCUUUGGACUACUAUUGAAUCGAAAAAUAGGUUUGAUUCUCCAUCUUUUUUAUAUAAUAGUAAGGCCUCCUUCAGAUAAUUCAAAUUGAAGCAAUUAGAUGUCCAACUCAGACUUGAUAGUCAAAUAUUCACGACCCACAUCCACUUCAAGAGGUGUCGUGGUCUCUAACAGAAGGCAAGUCAACAAUGAACAAUUAUAAAAUACUAGUGUAGAGAGAGGUGUGCAGUAAGAAUGAACCAUGGGCAAAGAAGAAGAUUUUUCACUAUUUUAAGUAUAUUAUAUUUUACUUGCAGGUUUAACUUUUAAGUUAAUUUGUCCACCUAAUAAAAUAAAAUGACAUGUCAAUCUAAUCAAGUCAUGAUUUGAUAACCAUUUCGUUAGGGUAAAGUUAACUAUGUGACCAUUUAGUAUCAUUUUGAAAAUCUUAAAAAGACAAAUUUUAUUUUAAAACUUUAUAGACUAAAUAGACAUCGAAUCUAAAUUAAUUUUUGAUGGUUGUCUACGUAAAAACCAUCUCCCCACAAAUCCUAAUAACUUCAAUAAAAUUAUACAUACUCCAUGGAAUUAAUAAUGCAAAAAUAACUCCAACCUCCACACGUAAACCCUACUUAAACCUAUAUAUUACCAAGUAUAAAAUACCAUGACAAAAACUCCACCAUCUAACCUAAAUAUCAUACUUACACUUCCACCUUUCAAAUCUCACACACCAACAACGUAUAGUACACACUAAUCACCUACCAUCGUCAAAUUUGAGUCUUUUUCCUCAAUCAAAGACAGGUGGUGCACUUCAAGAUACAGCUAAUGCAAAUCAGCUAUCCGAUUAAUCAAAGACAGAGCAUUACUAGUCAACUGCGCAAUGUUGACAAUCUUAGUCCUAACCUCAGCCUUAACGCCUCCGUUCACCGUCUUCCCCUGAAACCCUUCGCUACAUGUGGUUUCAUCCGUCAGAGCGGCGCUAACCCAUGUCUGAACAUUACUCAUUGCGAGGUCGAAAUUGGUUCCACGGAGCUUCGGCAUCUCGGAAAUGGAAGCAGCGAGGGAGUCGACAGAGUCACUCAGUUCUUCCAAACAGUCGUUAAGAGCAGAAACAUCUCUGGAGGGGAGGCCAUGGGAGUGAGAAAGCUUGAGGAUUUGAGUGGCGGUGGACUUGACGGAGGAGAGGGAAACGGAGAGGGCGGCGGUGGCCAAAAGGCGGGGACUUGUUUGGAUGGCAUUGGCAUGGACUGAAAGAGAUGAAAAACAGAGACGAGGGUAAGUGGUGGAACUGCAAGAGCUUUUUAUGAACUCUGUGCUGCUUUGUGGAGUUAUGGCUGAAUGGAUUAGUGUUAAUUGGAGAAUUAGUUGGAAAAGAAUCAAAGUUUUCUUGGAGUUUGAGAUACCCAUCUCUGUUUUCUUUGUGUUCUUAAAUGUAAAUGGAAGGAAUUUAGAAAGAAG